UACGAAGGGUGCAAACGUUGCUCGGAAUCAUUGGGCGUAAAGCGCACGUAGGCGGCUUCAAAAGUCGGAUGUGAAAUCCCGUGGCUCAACCAUGGACGUGCAUUCGAAACUGCGAAGCUUGAGUAUGGAAGAGGGUCGCGGAAUUCCCGGUGUAGAGGUGAAAUUCGUAGAUAUCGGGAGGAACACCAGUGGCGAAGGCGGCGACCUGGGCCAAUACUGACGCUGAGGUGCGAAAGCUAGGGGAGCAAACGGG
rnacentral:rRNA from 1 species